rnacentral:lncRNA from 1 species
CCGUACCUAACUACUAACUAGCAUGGUACUAGCCAGCAUUUACCACGUAGUGUUGUCUGAUGGGUCUUACGGUAUUUUAAAUUUGCAUAUGCAUGUUUAUAAUACUUUGGAACGACUCCGAUCCAUUUCCUUUAUAAAUAAGGAUACUACCUUUUUAAAAGUACAUUUUCCAAUUUCUACCAAUCGGACAUUUUCGUGAUAGAACAAUUUUUGCAACCUACACGAAAGCGUCGAGUCUUUGUUGAAACUGUCAGUGCUCAUAUUAAAUUAUUUAUAGUUAUUUCUCGUCGUUGUUUUAAGCGAUUUCAUAACGACCUCCUUGUCUUUUUGUCACUUGGUGUUGCAUUUUUAUCGAAGUCGCCAAUCUGACCUGUAGAAUUGGAAACAUUUUGUCAUCAUCCUGGGACUUGAAUUGUCAGCAUUUGGCAAAAAAUGGGAAAGCAGCAUUUAUUGCCCACACUUGUUUUUGGAUUUCUGGGAUGCUCAAUGCUGUUACAGGAAGUUUUUGCUAAUUUAUUUCACCCUUUAUGUACCUACUACCAGUUAGAGCAUUGAGCCGCAGCCCACAUCCAGCAUCGAAAUGUUUUGGGAGUGGAGUAUUUAAGUUAAACUACCUUCUUGACGUGCUAUUAGACUUCAUUGUUCCUCUCUGUUAAAGGCAAAAUACCUUCACAGUAAAUGAACGUGUUAAGCUACUUUCUAAGGUUUUUAGAAAAAAAUUCAAAUUUUUUUGUUGUUGCAUAGAUUGAAACUUAACCCUUUUCCCCAGUAUCUUGAAAUACUCAACAUGAUUUCCUUGUUGACAAGUUAUCUCUUGUCAAAAUACCAUGUUAUACCAUUGUUUUCUUGUUUUGAAAGUAAACUUGAACACAAUAGGCAGUUAAGUUUAUCAAAUGGUUUUCUUACCAGUGGCGUCACAAAUGUGAACAGUUUACAAAAUAUAUCGAUAGAAUGAU